AUGCGUAGAUAUCAGGAAGAACACCGGUGGCGAAGNCGGCUUCCUGGUCCGAUACUGACGCUGAGGCGCGAAAGCGUGGGGAGCGAACAGGAUUAGAUACCCUGGUAGUCCACGCUGUAAACGAUGGGUACUAGGUGUUGGUUGUAAUGAUCAGCGCCGGAGCAAACGCAUUAAGUACCCCGCCUGGGGAAUACGGUCGCAAGACUGAAACUCAAAGGAAUUGACGGGGGCCCGCACAAGCGGUGGAGCAUGUGGUUUAAUUCGAUGCAACGCGAAGAACCUUACCUGGGCUUGAACUGCAGGUGCUAUCUCCUGAAAGGGAGUUUCCUUCGGAACGCCUGUAGAGGUGCUGCAUGGCUGUCGUCAGCUCGUGCUGUGAGGUGUUGGGUUAAGUCCCGCAACGAGCGCAACCCCUGUCCCUAGUUGCCAUCAGGUCAAGCUGGGACUCUAGGGGACUGCCCCGGAUAACGGGGAGGAAGUGGGGAUGACGUCAAGUCAUCAUGCCCUUACGUCCAGGCUACACACGUGCACAAUGGCCGUACAACGGUAGCGAGACAGCGAUGUGG
rnacentral:rRNA from 1 species